CCCCUCUCAGGGUCGCACCUGGAGAAUUUCCAGUACUCUACCAGUUUCAGCUACGGGAGGGAGAGUCAAACUGAGGCCUUCCCAUUUCAUUCCUAGCUUGGGUAGUAGCUAGCAAGUGGAAGAUAAUCUGCUACAAGU